GCAAGUCGAGCGCGCCCUUCGGGGUGAGCGGCGGACGGGUGAGUAACGCGUGGGAACGUGCCCUUUGCUGCGGAAUAGCCACUGGAAACGGUGAGUAAUACCGCAUGAGCCCUUCGGGGGAAAGAUUUAUCGGCAAGGGAUCGGCCCGCGUUGGAUUAGGUAGUUGGUGGGGUAAUGGCCUACCAAGCCGACGAUCCAUAGCUGGUUUCAGAGGAUGAUCAGCCACACUGGGACUGAGACACGGCCCAGACUCCUACGGGAGGCAGCAGUGGGGAAUCUUAGACAAUGGGCGCAAGCCUGAUCUAGCCAUGCCGCGUGAGUGACGAAGGCCCUAGGGUCGUAAAGCUCUUUCGCCUGUGAAGAUAAUGACGGUAGCAGGUAAAGAAACCCCGGCUAACUCCGUGCCAGCAGCCGCGGUAAUACGGAGGGGGUUAGCGUUGUUCGGAAUUACUGGGCGUAAAGCGCGCGUAGGCGGACCAUCAAGUUGGGGGUGAAAUCCCGGGGCUCAACCCCGGAACUGCCUCCAAAACUGGCGGUCUGGAGUUCGAGAGAGGUGAGUGGAAUUCCGAGUGUAGAGGUGAAAUUCGUAGAUAUUCGGAGGAACACCAGUGGCGAAGGCGGCUCACUGGCUCGAGACUGACGCUGAGGUGCGAAAGUGUGGGGAGCAAACAGGAUUAGAUACCCUGGUAGUCCACACCGUAAACGAUGAAUGCCAGUCGUCGGCAAGCAUGCUUGUCGGUGACACACCUAACGGAUUAAGCAUUCCGCCUGGGGAGUACGGCCGCAAGGUUACACUCAAAGGAAUUGACGGAA
rnacentral:rRNA from 1 species